UACGUAGGUGGCAAGCGUUGUCCGGAAUUACUGGGUGUAAAGGGAGCGCAGGCGGGACUGCAAGUUGGAAGUGAAAUACCGCAGCUUAACUGCGGAGCUGCUUCCAAAACUGUAGUUCUUGAGUGGAGUAGAGGUAGGCGGAAUUCCGAGUGUAGCGGUGAAAUGCGUAGAUAUUCGGAGGAACACCAGUGGCGAAGGCGGCCUACUGGGCUCUUACUGACGCUGAGGCUCGAAAGUGUGGGGAGCAAACAGG
rnacentral:rRNA from 1 species